rnacentral:tRNA from 1 species
AUUUUUAUAGUUGAAUACAACAAUAACUUUUCGAGUUAUAAGUUUGGGUUAAACUCCCAAUAAAAAUC